rnacentral:rRNA from 1 species
UACGAAGGGGGCAAGCGUUGUUCGGAAUUACUGGGCGUAAAGGGCGCGUAGGCGGCUUAUCAAGUCAGGCGUGAAAUUCCCGGGCUCAACCUGGGGGCUGCGCUUGAUACUGAUUGGCUUGAAUGCGGGAGAGGAUAGUGGAAUUCCCAGUGUAGAGGUGAAAUUCGUAGAUAUCUUGAGGAACACCGGUGGCGAAGGCGGCGUCCUGGACCAACACUGACACUGAUGAGCGAAAGCCAGGGGAGCAAACGGG